UGUUGUUGUUGUUGUUGUUGGAAAAUGCACUCAAGUGUUUUGACUGUGUACCCUUGUAGAUAGUGCUAGCGCGACAGAUAUCGAUCAAAGCACAUGCCAGGAGACUCUGGAAAACCUUGUUCAAGCUUUCCAAAAAGUCGUUGACCUCCAGUCCAGGAUUCUGAAUGACGAACCCUCGGACGAAAGCCAUGAGGUGUUGUCGUACAUUUCAAGCACAUUUUCAGCCAUAGAGGAUCAAAUACACGAGUCGCGCCUUCGACGGCGGCAGUGGGAACUUUCUUCUCUUCCCAGGGGUAAGCCCGGCUCAGGUUCCAGGCCUCUGGGCGGCGCGUUAAGUUUCUCCACUGGCAACUUGGACCAACUGUUACCUAAAGGGAAUUCUUUGAGAAGAAAUUCGGCGUUUUCUAUAUCGUCCAUACCCGAGGAUGUAGAAAUACAUGAAGUUUUACUGGAAAAAUACUCGAACAGAUUGUUAGAGAUGGUCGCGCAAAAACUUAGUAAAUGAGUAGUCUCUACAGCAGCCUGAAAUUCGUUUCUCUGUAAAAAAACAAACAAACAAACAAACAAACAGCACAACGUAACAGUUGUCGUUUUGUCCUUCAAAAUGGUUGUGAAAGUAGCUUCACUGGUUCAUUUCGAGCUUAGUGUGAAUUUGACUGUAGGUUACUUGUCUGUAAAUGUAAUAUGCAGUCUUUUUUUGCUGACCAGGAGGGGCGUGGAGUUUCAAAUCACUCGUUCUAUAAAACAAAUGUGAAAAAGUACGUCUUUCAAAGGUGGACGAGUUUUCGUGUCAAAUUGUGUUAUUUUUGAAUUGAUAUUUUCUACGUUGAUCUAUGAAUGUAAGAAAUCGUUAUGAGAGUAGAUACUGAGUAACGGACUGAUUAAAUAUGAUACUUUAUAUUUAAAAGGGAAAAACUAUCAAAAGUAGUUGUAAAUAAACCCUAUGAGGUGAAGUUUGACUUUA